rnacentral:rRNA from 1 species
UACGGAGGGUGCAAGCGUUAAUCGGAAUUACUGGGCGUAAAGCGCACGCAGGUGGCUGAGUAAGUCGAUUGUGAAAGCCCUGGGCUUAACCUGGGAAUUGCAGUCGAUACUGCUCGGCUAGAGUAUGGGAGAGGGUAGUGGAAUUCCCGGUGGUAGCGGUGAAAUGCGUAGAUAUCGAGAGGAACACCUGCGGCGAAGGCGGGUUGCUGGGCUGACACUGACGCUGAGGUGCGAAAGCGUGGGGAGCAAACAGG